GACGAACGCUGGCGGCGUGCUUAACACAUGCCAGUCGAACGGAAAGGCCCUGCUUUUGUGGGGUUCUCGAUUGGCGAACGGGUGAGUAACACGUGAGUAACCUGCCCUUGACUUUGUGAUAACUUCAGGAAACUGGGGCUAAUACCGUAUAGGAUCUCCUGCUGCAUGGUGGGGGUUGGAAAGUUUCGGCGGUUGGGGAUGGACUCGCGGCUUAUCAGCUUGUUGGUGGGGUAGUGGCUUACCAAGGCUUUGACGGGUAGCCGGCAUGAGAGGGUGACAGGAGAAAAUGGGACUGAGAUACGGACCAGACUGCUACGGGAGGCAGCAGUGGGGAAUAUUGCACAAUGGGCGGAAGCAUAAUGCAGAAACGCCGCGAGCGGGAUGACGGCAUUCGGGUUGUAAACAGCUUUCGAAUGUGACGAAGAGUGAGUGACGGUAAUGGGUAAAGAAGCACCGGCUAACUACGUG
rnacentral:rRNA from 1 species